GUUGUGGGGUUAAGCGACUAAGCGUACACGGUGGAUGCCCUGGCAGUCAGAGGCGAUGAAGGACGUGCUAAUCUGCGAUAAGCGUCGGUAAGGUGAUAUGAACCGUUAUAACCG
rnacentral:rRNA from 1 species